CUUAAUAUGUAAGAAAAGCCUAAGCUAGUCAGUAGUAAACUUUAUUUAUAAAAAUAAAACCGUCCAUUCUUGUGAACUUCCAUUAAUCAACAUAGUUUUAUCUUUGGAUUGCUUUAACAAGUUGCAGGAGGGUGGUCUUCCAUCAAAUUUAAGCCCUAAAAGAAAAAAGGUGUUUUAAGAGAGUUGCAAAGUUUCACUUACAUAAGUUUUUUCUUCAGUUCUUCAAGGUGAGUGAGCUGAGCAACAAUAACAUGGCAUUCACCAGCUUCUUGGGUGCAUUUCCUCCUAUGUUUACAAUUAUCCAUCUCACUCUCUCUACAAAUCUCUCUUAAUCUCUCUAUACACACACAUAUAUAUAUAGUAUGUGGUUCUUGACAAGUAAUAAGUGUCCAUGUAUGUUGCUACAAAAUUUAAGAGCAAGGGAGGACACGUGGCACCAGGGCGGAGUAAGCGAAAAGAAGUUGUUCACUGGGGUAGAUAUGAUUGGGAAAAGAAGUAUUGACCGGAAACGAAUUAUAACUAUAUCCUAAUACUUCUUCUGUCCAAAAAUAACUAUCAGUUUAUCUCAUUUCACGCCCAUUAAAGAAAAUAAAAAAUUGAAGGUAUAGUUCACUAAGUUGUUUAUGUAGAUGGUUCUUUUUCAUAGUUGAGCACUAUUUUAAAAGUAGUAGCUCUUUAAUAUAAAAGUAUAGUCGAAACAUGCAUACUAAUUUUUUAAAUAUUAAUACUCCUUUCGCCCCCAAAAUAAGUGCCACUCGAGCAAAAAAAAAACUGUUUUAAAACAAGUGUCUUUGUAGGAAUUCUAGACCAAAAUUAGUAUGCUUUUUCAAUUAUAAAAAAACAUGUAAUAAAUAGAGCUAACACAGUAAACUGUACUUCAAUUUUGUUCUUUUUCUUAAUAAGUAUGAAUAUGAGCUAAAGAGAUACUUAUUUUGGAUAAAGGAAGUAGUAAUAUAUAGUUAUGUCGUUUCCGGUCAAUGCUCAUUUUCCCAAUAGUGAAAUCAUAUUUAUCCUAGUGAAUACCUUUUUUUCGUUCACUCCGCCUUGGUUCCACGUAUCCCCUUUCUCUUAAAUUUUGUGGCUAUAUAUAUGGGGACAUGUUACUAGCCAAUAGCCACAUACUAUAUACAUAGAGAGAGAGGGAGAUGUUUGUAGAGAGAGAGAUGGAUAAUAGUAACCAUGUUGGUGGUUCAGGAAAUGGAGAAUUUCGUAGCUAAAGCUGAGCGUUUCUAUUAAAAUCUAUCUCACAAGAUAUGGAGAUGAGCCUGGAACUGCCUGCACAUCUCAACCAGGAAGUUGUUGAAAUCAUCUUUCUGGAGCAAGAUCAAGUCAUACCAAACGUGGCCAGAAUCAUGCAUAGCACCCAUUGUCCCCAUGUCAAGAUAUCCGACGAUGCCAAACGGACCAUGUACCAUUGUAUCUCUGAGUUCAUAUGCUUUGUAACAUAUGAAGCCAACGCUCAUUGCAAGCGUGAGCAGUGGAACACAAUCACUGAUAAAGACGUGCAUUAACAAGUUUGGUUUUGAUGACUACAUUGAACCCUUGCCUUUGUACUUUCCUCGUUAUGGUGAGGAUGAUGGUGGCGAGUGUGGAUCCCUGGAGUCUUUGUUGAAGCGUCCAAUGGUUAAUUCAACUUCAAGCUGCAACAUCACGCCCUAUCACCAGCAUCCUAAUUUUCCUAUGGCUCAUCACCGCUUGGCGUAUCCACCACCAAUGGGGAAUGGUGAUAUUCAGGGGGAUGCAUCAAAUUGGAAGCACUUCUCAGUGUGCAAUGGAUGAUGAUGUUGAGUUUCCUAUGGAGGAUGGUAAGAAGUGAUCAAUUUCUCUACUGAAGGUGUUAAGUUGUUCAAGCUUCAUGAGCAAUGAAGAAAUUAGACUAUCUUUUCUAUGUUACCUAAUCUAGGAUAGUUCUUAAUUUGCAAAGUUUAGGAAUGUGUUUUCCGAACUAAGUGAGGCGAAUGGUGGCUAUUUACUUAUGUUUGUAUGUGUUUGUGUAUGUGUAUGUUAUAUUUGCCCUUGUGCUAUGAAAAAAUUGGUCAUAUCAACAUUCUGUUUCA